AACAGACUGUAUUUCGGUGACGACCAUGGAUUAAUCUUUCUUCUUAUUUUGAUCAAAUGUUCCCCAAACUUGGAGAAAAUUGAGCUAGACAUUGCCGAGGGUAUUGGUGAUGACAAUGGGACGUGGUUUGGUAUAUUGGAAAAAUACUCAGAUGUUCGGUUGGAGCAUAUGCAGGAAUUGGAGAUUCACUAUUUCAGCAACUUGAAGCAUGAGAUGGAGCUUGUGACGGUUAUCUUGGCAAGGUCACCCAAGCUGAAGAAGGUGAUCAUACAUAGUUUGGUUGAAAAGGAUGAAGAGUCGGAUAUGUUGAUAAUUCUCUUACAAGCCCCACGCGCAUCACCCGUAGAAAUCGUCGUUAAGUAGUUGGGACGACGACAACAACGACCUUUGGAUCACUCGAGAAUUAGUUUUGAGACGCAUGAUGAGAAGGUAGUCACAUUGCCACUUGUUUUUCUGUGUUUUCAUUUUGGUUAGUCUAUGGAGUUCUUUUGAAUGUGGCUUUCACAAUAGGUGUACUUAAAACUAGGUAAGGGUGUAUAUGAGUUGAUCCGUUCUCGAUGAUA